rfam:Punica granatum cultivar Dabenzi scaffold410, whole genome shotgun sequence.
UUGCUAUGAUGAUGCAUGAUCUGUGAAGGUGCGCAAUAGUCGUGCUUGAUGAGGCAACUGAUCCUGAGCGGUUACCUGAGCAA